UUACCACUGAAGCUGAGACAGUAGACCAACGCAAGCCGAGGGCAGCGCAAGGAUUGGACUGGGUGAAUGCAGCCCUCAGCAGUGGCGAUUGUGGCAUUCUUUUCCACCAUUUUUGGGGAGAUAAGAGGACACCCAAAGUAACGUAAACAUUAAUCGAAGGAGAAAGGGUCAUUUUUCGUUUCAAUUAGCUCGUUCAUCAGGCUAAUAAUUUAUUAUUUAUAGCAUCUGGCAGUUAUCUGAAUGCAUAUUUCACAGUUGGCACACUGUAUUUCUUCUUCUGAAAGUGUUGACUUUUAAAGAGACGCAGGCGGCUGAGUAAACGAAGUACAACUGACAUAAGGAGCCGAUUGUCCACCAUGGAUAACGCUCACACAAAGAGUGUUGAAGAAGUUUACAGCGAUUUUUCUGUCAACGAAAGCACGGGACUUGGUUUGGACCAGGUGAAACGUCAGAAGGAGAAAUGGGGAUCGAACGAGCUACCUGCUGAAGAAGGGAAGUCUCUAUGGGAGCUUGUUGUUGAACAGUUUGAAGAUUUACUUGUACGAAUUCUUCUGCUGGCAGCUUGUAUAUCUUUUGUCUUGGCCUUGUUCGAGGAUGGAGAAGAAACAAUCACAGCCUUUGUGGAGCCUUUUGUAAUCUUACUCAUUCUUAUAGCCAAUGCCAUAGUGGGUGUGUGGCAGGAACGCAAUGCUGAGGAUGCCAUUGAAGCCCUUAAAGAGUACGAGCCUGAGAUGGGCAAGGUCUACCGCCAGGACAGGAAGACUGUUCAGAGGAUCAAGGCCAAAGAAAUCGUGCCUGGAGACAUUGUGGAGGUUGCUGUUGGAGACAAGGUUCCUGCAGACAUCCGUCUUACCUCCAUCAAAUCUACAACCCUGAGAGUAGACCAGUCCAUCCUGACCGGCGAGUCGGUCUCUGUCAUCAAGCACACCGACCCAGUGCCUGACCCUAGAGCUGUCAACCAGGACAAGAAGAACAUGCUCUUCUCUGGCACCAACAUCUCGUCUGGCAAGGCUAUUGGGGUUGUGGUGGCUACGGGUGUGAACACUGAGAUUGGUAAGAUCCGUGAUGAGAUGGCAGCCACUGAGCAGGAGAAGACCCCCCUGCAGCAGAAGCUGGAUGAGUUUGGGGAGCAGCUGUCCAAGGUCAUCUCUCUGAUCUGCAUCGCUGUGUGGAUGAUCAACAUCGGCCACUUCAAUGACCCCGUCCACGGAGGCUCCUGGAUCCGCGGCGCCGUCUACUACUUUAAAAUUGCCGUGGCCCUGGCAGUGGCCGCCAUCCCCGAGGGUCUGCCUGCUGUCAUCACCACCUGCCUGGCCCUGGGCACCCGCCGCAUGGCCAAGAAGAACGCCAUCGUCCGCAGCCUGCCCUCUGUGGAGACCCUGGGCUGCACCUCUGUCAUCUGCUCCGACAAGACCGGCACCCUCACCACCAACCAGAUGUCUGUCUGCAGGAUGUUCAUCCUUGACAAGGCCGAGGGGAACAGCUGCUCUCUGAAUGAGUUCACCAUCACCGGCUCUACCUACGCCCCUGAAGGAGAAGUGUACCAGGAUGGCAGACUAGUGAAGUCCUCUGCGUAUGAUGGUCUAGUGGAGAUUGCCACCAUCUGCGCCCUGUGCAAUGACUCCUCUCUGGACUUCAAUGAGGCCAAAGGUGUAUAUGAGAAGGUUGGCGAGGCCACAGAGACGGCCCUCACCUGCCUGGUGGAGAAGAUGAAUGCGUUUGACACCGAUGUCAAAGGCCUGACCAAGAUCGACAGGGCCAAUGCCUGCAACUCUGUGAUCAUGCAGCUGAUGAAGAAGGAAUUCACCCUGGAGUUCUCCAGAGACAGGAAGUCAAUGUCUGUGUACUGCACCCCCAACAAGGCCCGCUCCUCCCUCGGAAAGAUGUUUGUCAAGGGUGCCCCCGAGGGAGUUAUUGACAGAUGUACUCAUGUCAGAGUGGGCACCAGCAAGGUUGCCAUGACCCCGGGCAUCAAAGAGAGGAUCAUGUCUACGAUCCGUGGGUACGGAACGGGGCGUGACACCCUGCGCUGCCUGGCUCUGGCCACCCGGGACGCCCCACCUAGGAAGGAGGACAUGGUGCUGGUCGAUUGUGCCCGCUUCGUUGAUUAUGAGUCUGACCUGACCUUCGUUGGCUGCGUUGGCAUGCUGGACCCUCCCAGGACCGAGGUGGCUGCCUCCAUCAAGCUGUGCCGCCUAGCCGGCAUCCGCGUCAUCAUGAUCACCGGCGACAACAAGGGCACUGCCGUGGCCAUCUGCCGCCGUAUCGGCAUCCUGGGUGAAGAAGACGACGUGGACAAAAUGGCGUUCACUGGCCGCGAGUUUGACGACCUGUCCCCCCAGGCCCAACGCGAUGCCGUUACCAACGCCCGCUGCUUCGCCCGUGUCGAGCCCUCCCACAAGUCCAAGAUCGUUGAGUUCCUGCAGGCCAUGGACGAGAUCACAGCCAUGACUGGUGAUGGAGUGAAUGAUGCCCCUGCCUUGAAGAAGGCAGAGAUUGGCAUCGCCAUGGGCUCUGGCACUGCCGUGGCCAAGUCAGCCUCUGAGAUGGUCCUGGCCGAUGACAACUUCUCUUCCAUCGUGGCGGCUGUGGAGGAGGGCAGAGCCAUCUACAACAACAUGAAGCAGUUCAUCCGCUACCUCAUCUCCUCCAAUGUGGGAGAGGUCGUCUGCAUCUUCCUGACGGCUGCUCUGGGCUUCCCUGAGGCUCUGAUCCCAGUUCAGCUGUUGUGGGUCAACCUGGUGACAGACGGUCUCCCUGCCACCGCACUGGGCUUCAACCCCCCUGACCUGGACAUCAUGAACAAGCCCCCCCGCAGUGCCAAGGAGCCCCUCAUCUCUGGAUGGCUCUUCUUCAGAUACCUGGCCAUCGGAUGCUAUGUGGGAGCUGCCACAGUAGGAGCUGCUACCUGGUGGUUUGUGGCUGCUGAGGAUGGCCCUAUGAUCUCUCUGUACCAGCUGAGCCACUUCCUGCAGUGUUCCCCUGACAACCCUGACUUUGCUGACCUAGAGUGUAAUGUGUUUGAGUCCCCCUACCCCAUGACAAUGGCCCUGUCUGUGCUUGUCACCAUUGAGAUGUGCAAUGCCCUUAACAGCCUGUCAGAGAACCAGUCCCUGCUGCGUAUGCCCCCCUGGGAGAACAUCUGGCUGCUGGGGGCCAUCUGCCUCUCCAUGUCCCUCCACUUCCUCAUCCUCUAUGUGGAGCCACUGCCCGUCAUCUUCCAGAUCACCCCUCUGGACCUGACCCAGUGGCUGGUGGUGCUGAAGAUCUCCCUGCCUGUCAUCCUGCUGGAUGAGCUGCUAAAGUUUGUGGCCAGGAACUACCUGGAACCCGGUAACCAGCCAGAGUCUAAGUCAGCCAGCAAAGGCUGGUCCCUCUCUGCAUGCACAGAGGGCAUCUCCUGGCCCUUUGUGGGCAUCACCCUCCCCCUGAUGCUGUGGCUCUACAGCAUCGACACUAAUGUGUCUGCCCUGUUUUGGUCCUGACUACAGCACACAACCCUCCCAGUGCACCAGUGUGAGUGGAGAUUAACACACGUCUAACGAAAUCCCCCAUUAACCAGGAUCAACUACAACAACCACAUCAACUGCAGUGAGAGCUUAAGUCAACAUUUGUACCUGUGUUGACGACAGAUGUAAUCUGUGAGCCCUCUGCUGGUUUGUCUCCAGGACAUUUUCACCAUUCCGCUUUUUUAUUCUUCUUUUAAGAUAUUCAUAUUUUUAAUGGUGUUAGUUUUGUCAUUUGUCAAUGUGUCUUCAUUUAAUAUCAAGCUUUUGGUUCUUUUUUUGCUCCCCCUUUUUGAACAGGCAUUUAAAAAAAUCUGCUAUUUAGGAGCUGUCUGACGUGUACAGAGAAUUAACACUAUUUUAUCCAAAUUAAGAUUUUUGUAGCUUUGGGAAGGUGUGUGAAGGGCAGCCAGGUGGUAUAAGGGGCGUGCACAGAACUCAAAUGUUUCUCUUGUUUUCAGUGUGAACUUUGACCUCUAAAGAACUUAAUUUGCACUGAAUCAGAAGUCUGUAACAAAACGUGCAUGUAUUCUGCCCAGGCAUGAAUAACGGGGAUUUCUUCACCAAAUUAAUUAUUGUUCCUUCCCCUGUUUGAGCUCCUCCAUUUGACUUGUUUGUGUUUAUUUUCUGCUCUAGGCAGAGCACAGCUACCUCAAUGCUAUUGAUAUCACAAUUGAUUACUACCUGUGUUCCUCAGUAAGCUUUUCAUAAACAUUGUCAUAUUGAGUGUUGAGGUAUGCACCAUUUCGCUUGUGCAUAAGGAAAUAUAAAGCCCUCAUUUGCCUUUCAUGUUAUUUUAAGAGCUUUUUAAAAGUUUAAUCUGUGUUCUUUUUAUGUUCCUUGAGGGAGGUUAGGGUUAGGACAAAUAUGUAAAUGUUACCUUAGUUCAAUUGAAAGUAGUUUUUUGGAUAUAGACAAGCCUGUCGUUAAACACGUUUACUUGAACACAACAUAUUCUGUCUAUUCUCAUAAAGGUUCACCUUUUUAGGUUUAGUCUUAAUUUACGGACACUGUAGUGUCUUUAUUACAUAACUAUAUUGAUUAUGUAUUGAGCACAUACUGUACUUGAAUAUGUAUAAACACACCAAGUGGCGGAUUUUCUUAUCAGUUGAGCACAAGAUGGAUGCUUUGACGGGACCGUUAUGUGGUCAGGAUUCCCUAUUGGGGUGUAUCACCAAGCGGAGACUGCUUUGGCCAUAGUAUAUAGGCCCAACGCUAAAAUGACUGGCUGGUAGAAGAGUCUGUACAUAUAACACAAAAUAGUAUCUAUGUGUAUAGAGUUUAUAUUAAAGAUGCUCCAUAUCUUUACACUAGUUUACUUGAGCGUGUUUUAGAAACACUGUAGGUAAUAGGUAUUCCUGGAAAGCAUGCCCUCCAAUACCAUGCCAGUAAACGCUUGAGUGUUCUUAAACCUAACUGCUAUUUCUUCCAAUGCCUUCCGCCUGUUUACCCAACACUAGUGCCGUGUAAGCCCGCUCCUCCUAUAAAUCCCUUGUAGGAACUGCAAGGUUUUGUUUUGGUGUUGUGCAUGUGUUUUGAUCAGCACCACAUCUUCCAAGACCUGCAUGUCAAUAAAGAAGAGCUAUCAAGACAUGAUUGAUACAUUUUCAUAAGCAAUUAAAUUACAAAAAAGUAAUAAUCAAAUGUUAUAUGUUUUACCUGAAUGGGUAUAAAUGUUUUUGGAAUCAAAUUAACCAAUCCCUGGUCCAUCCAUCCUUACUACAUGAAGAGCCAUAGGCAGCAUUUACACAUGGCAGCCAAAUUCUGGUCUUUUGCCCAAUUAUUGGUAGUGGAAAAAGAUCAGAAUUGGGUUGCCUGUGUAAAUGCAGCCUUCAAACUGGACAAGACAGAGUUCUUAUGCCAUCUUAAUAAACCUAUGUUAUAGUUUUCUAUUAAUGUACACUAUUCCAUGAUGCAUGUCCUCUGAAGCAGCCAAUUAUUUUAGUAGAUGUGUAAUCGUUAAUGUAUUGAUAAAUGAAAUGGACAUUACCCACAAUAGUACAAAUGUUAAACUCAAACGCCUAUCUUUUCCGGGAUGGGAUAUGUAAAAUAACCAAAGACGCUGUAAUGUGCAACAUGUUUGAAGCAGAUUUUGCAGUAUCUGGGGAGGCGGAGGUGUGGCAAUAGCUGCAGAUCCAUUACCCUGAGAGAAAGUCAGUCCCUUCAAUGGCACGCAUGUUUGCCAAACUGUAAUGUAAUUUCAGAGCUGACGAUUGUAUUGACUUGGGGUUCAGGUAAAUAAAGCAAUUCUACAUUCA